rnacentral:rRNA from 1 species
GAAGAACCUUACCAAGUCUUGACAUCCCCCCUGACGGGAGGGUAACGCCUUCCGUCCCUUCGGGGCAGGGGAGACAGGUGGCGCAUGGUUGUCGUCAGCUCGUGUCGUGAGAUGUUGGGUUAAGUCCCGCAACGAGCGCAACCCUUAUUCUUAGUAGCCAGCAGGUAAGGCUGGGCACUCUAGGGAGACUGCCAGGGAUAACCUGGAGGAAGGUGGGGAUGACGUCAAAUCAUCAUGCCCCUUAUGAUUUGGGCUACACGCGUGCUACAAUGGCGUAAACAAAGGGAAGCGAGGGAGUGAUCCGGAGCGAAUCCCAAAAAUAACGUCUCAGUUCGGACUGCAGGCUGCAACUCGCCUGCACGAAGCUGGAAUCGCUAGUAAUCGCGGAUCAGCAUGCCGCGGUGAAUACGUUCCCGGGUCUUGUACACACCGCCCGUCACACCAUGGGAGUCAGUAACGCCCGAAGUCAGUGACCCAACCGAAAGGAGGGAGCUGCCGAAGGCGGGACGGAUAACUGGGGUGAAGUCGUAACAA